GCCUGAGUGGCUCAGUCGUUAAGCGUCUGCCUUCAGCUCAGGUUGUGAUCCUGGCAUUCUGGGUUCGAGUCCCACAUCAGGCU
rnacentral:tRNA from 1 species